rnacentral:rRNA from 1 species
CCUACGGGGGGCUGCAGUGGGGAAUAUUGCACAAUGGGCGAAAGCCUGAUGCAGCGACGCCGCGUGAGGGAAGAAGGUUUUCGGAUUGUAAACCUCUGUCUUUGGGGACGAAACAAAUGACGGUACCCGAGGAGGAAGCCACGGCUAACUACGUGCCAGCAGCCGCGGUAAAACGUAGGUGGCAAGCGUUGUCCGGAAUUACUGGGUGUAAAGGGAGCGCAGGCGGGGUGCCAAGUUGGGCGUGAAAACUAUGGGCUCAACCCAUAGAUUGCGCUCAAAACUGGCGCUCUUGAGUGAUGGAGAGGCAGGCGGAAUUCCCGGUGUAGCGGUGGAAUGCGUAGAUAUCGGGAGGAACACCAGUGGCGAAGGCGGCCUGCUGGACAUUAACUGACGCUGAGGCUCGAAAGCGUGGGUAGCAAACAGGAUUAGAUACCCGAGUAGUC